rnacentral:misc_RNA from 1 species
GGGUCUUGCGAGGAAGACGGGUAACACCCCAACGAGUGACAACACCUUCAUAACCUUUACCCUUGGUGACCCCAAUGAUGUCAAUCAUUUCAUCCUUCUGGAAAACAGCAUCAAUUGGGAUUUGCUUCUCAAAAAAGCCAUAGGCAAAGUCCACCUUCUGAGCAAUAGUGCCACCAUUGACCUGGAUCUCCAUCAGAUGAGCUUUCUUCUGCUUCAAUCCC